rnacentral:tmRNA from 1 species
GCUCUUUAACGCGAGGCAUCAUGGGGUAUCAUUCCUUUAGAGAUAGUGCCGGCAGAGCCUGGAUGCCGGUGCGAAACAAACAGGAUAAGGGUCUGGCUUUCGUCGCUUCCCGCGUGGCCUCUCCCCGACAAUCAAGCGGAAGAUAAGCAUGUAGAAAGCCUUCGGGUUCCUUGUUUGGACGAGGGUUCGACUCCCUCCAGCUCCACUU